UCCGUCCGUCCGUCCGUCCGUGUUUACGAGAGUGCAUUUAUUGGGUAUUUUUCAUGCCAAGAUUGUACUUAUUGGGUACUUUUUGCUUAUUGGGUAUACCCAAUAAGAAGUGUCGCUGAAUAUGCUUAAAACACCCUAAUUGGGUAUUUGCAGGUUAGUACCCAACAAAACUUGGACACGACGAUUUGUCCAAAAAAGUGUCCAAAAAAGUUGCUUUCACGGACGCACCGUGUUUUGUGUUUCAGUUUUACAUUCGGAACUCUAAAUUCUCGAGAGUUCCGAAAAUCAACUUCCGUUGAUCCUGAUCAUAACAACGUUUGUUUUCAUGGAAAAAAAAUAUGGCGACUAAGAAACACUUAAUGUCAACAAGAUUGUCUGAUUGACAAGAGAAAAGGUCAAACAGGAACUUCAAUUGUGAACAUUGCAGAGAACACACUCAUCAGAAGAUGACCCUCAGAAAUAGGACAAUUAAUGAAUAAAAAGGACAGAGGCAGAUUUGAAGGAGAUUCAUGAAAUGAGGAAUAUUUCAAAGAUUGCCUGAGCAUAACCACUGCUACUGGAUAAACAUAUGGCAAUAUAAAAGAGCAGGGUCAAUGGAGGUAUCAUACAGUAUAGACCA